GAAGAGUUGAAACAAAAAAUGGCUGAAGCACUAAAAGGGACACUGCCAAUAUCUUCCCCUGUCACCCACUUUUCUGUGAGCUGGUCCCAUCACUAGGGGUGCCUGAGGAAUGGAGGAAAAAGCCAGUGCUCUGGCACAUGGAGUUUGCCAGUUUUGGGACCUGCUGCCUCAGUUUCCUCCUUUGUGCAUAGAAGAUGACAAGCCACAGAAGUUUGACAUCCAGGCCUCAUAGCACCUGAGGAGGAAUAAACUAUGCAAUGGUGCAUGGCACAUGCCACCUCAUUCUGGACUCAUGACCUCAUGCUCACUCA